rnacentral:misc_RNA from 1 species
GAACGCAUCUUGUGCUCCUUGGUAUUCUGAGGAGCAUGCCUGUUUGAGUGUCAUUAUCACCCCUCAAGCCUAGCUUGGUGUUGAGACCUGCUGUCAAGGCAGUCUCUAAAAUCAGUGGCAGUGCUGUCAGGCUCUAAGCGUAGUAAAUUCAUCGCUAUAGACACCUGGUGGCCACUCGCCAGAACCCCCCCAUUUUUUAAUGAUUGACCUCGGAUUAGGUAGGGAUACCCGCUGAACUUAAG